rnacentral:rRNA from 1 species
GCGCACCAGGCGCGAAACCUCCGCAAUGCGCGAAAGCGCGACGGGUUACCCGAGUGCCGUCCGCUGAGGACGGCUUUGCCCAGUGUAGCCAGCUGGGCGAAUAAGGAGAGGGCAAGUCUGGUGUCAGCCGCCGCGGUAAUACCAGCUCUCCGAGUGGUGGGACGCUUAUUGGGCCUAAAGCAUCCGUAGCCGGUCUGGCAAGUCCCUUGUUAAAUCCAACGAUUCAAUCGUUGGACUGCAAGGGGUACUGCCAGACUAGGGGGCGGGAGAGGCCGACGGUAUUCCCGGGGUAGGGUGAAAGUCCUAUAAUCCCGGGAGGACCACCAGUGGCGAAGGCUGUCGGCUAGAACGCGCCCGACGGUGAGGGAUGAAAGCUGGGGGAAGCGAACCGGAUUAGAUACCCCUGUAGU